rnacentral:rRNA from 1 species
CAGCAGCCGCGGGAAUACGGAGGGUGCAAGCGUUAUCCGGAUUUAUUGGGUUUAAAGGGUCCGUAGGCGGACUUAUAAGUCAGUGGUGAAAGCCUGUCGCUUAACGAUAGAACUGCCAUUGAUACUGUAAGUCUUGAGUAUAUUUGAGGUAGCUGGAAUAAGUAGUGUAGCGGUGAAAUGCAUAGAUAUUACUUAGAACACCAAUUGCGAAGGCAGGUUACCAAGAUAUAACUGACGCUGAGGGACGAAAGCGUGGGUAGCGAACAGGAUUAGAGACCCCGGUAGUCCCUGUCUCUUAUAC